AUGUGGAGAGAGGCUGCGAGCCCUGCUGCAGAGCCUCCGGCUGGGAUAGCCGCCCCCCGUGGGGGCGAUGCAGACAGCGCGGGACAGCCAGGGGAGCGCGCGGGGGCCGCAGCAUGCGGAAACCCGCUAAACCCGGUGGCUGCUGAGGCGGCCGAGAUGCUCGUGCGCGCAGCGCGCCCCACUGCAUCCUCGACCUUCUCCGGCUACAGGUACGUCCCAGCGGGAGACCUGGGCUCGGCCGGCCUGGGAAGAGGAAGACUCAACCGGAGAGAGAGCGGGAGAAGGAACAGGAGAGAGAGGGAGAGAGGAAGCGGGAGAGGGAUUAUCUGUAGCGAGGCGCGGGAGGAGCACCAGGGGGCGCUGCGGCUCCGCGCUCCGCUGUGCUCACCCUAAGAGUGCCUCGGCCAGAACGAGUUCUCCCUAACUUCCCCUGGCUCCAGCAGCGCCGGGCCCGAGGGGCGCGCGCCUGUGCACGCGUGCACGACUGUGCUGGUAUUUGCAGGCACGCGCAGUUGUGCACCUGGCGCGAUACAUGUGUGUGCACCGACUGAGGACGUGUGUGGACUCCGGAUGGCCGUGGGCCGUGGGCACCGCCACAGCGGCCUGCGGCUGUGCGCAGAACGGCGCGCGUGCCUGUCAGGUUGUGCAGCCCACUACCCACAUGCAUCUAAGACUUGGUAACAGGACCUGUAGUGGAAAGCCUGGGGAGGGUCUGUACAGUUCGUGUCCGUCGGAGAGCCGCUUAGGAGCCUACCUUUCCCCCCACGCAGUUCCCUGCCAGCUCCCACGCGCCGGCCCACGGGUGGAAGCGCCUGCUCUCCGCUCUGGGAUUCUGCAUUGCACGCGGCGCGCAUGAGAGAGGGCGUGUGUGUGUGUGUGUGUGUGUGUGUGUGUGUGUGUGUGUGUGUGUUUGUGCAUGCGUGCGUGUAGGGGGCGGGUCCUGGGGCUCGCUUGCAGUUGAGUGGAAAUCGCUUCACUGUACCCCCGCGCAGGUGGGGGGGGCCCCAAUUUCCCCCACGCGCCUGGGGCACACGGGUGAAAGUCUGCACUCCCGUGAACUUGGUGGGGGCCACCCUGCAGGAGAGGAGUGGGGUCUGCAGCGUGUGCCGCGUGGAGCCAGGUCUGUGCUGUACCCGGAGGAUUCAGAGGGGGCGGGGUCAGUCAUCUAGCACAGCGCGGGAGCAGGGCUGCGGAGUCUCAGCACCGCCUCCGCACGCGGGGGC
rnacentral:lncRNA from 1 species